rnacentral:ncRNA from 1 species
AAACGGGGUGCUGGCGCGAAAGCCGGCUGAGAGUAAGACUGUAAGUGUCUUUAACCCAUAUACCUGAUCUGGAUAAUGCCAGCGUAGGAACAAAAAAUA